AUUGAACGCUGGCGGCAGGCCUAACACAUGCAAGUCGAGCGGAUGAAGGGAGCUUGCUCCUGGAUUCAGCGGCGGACGGGUGAGUAAUGCCUAGGAAUCUGCCUGGUAGUGGGGGAUAACGUCCGGAAACGGGCGCUAAUACCGCAUACGUCCUGAGGGAGAAAGUGGGGGAUCUUCGGACCUCACGCUCUCAGAUGAGCCUAGGUCGGAUUAGCUAGUUGGUGGGGUAAAGGCCUACCAAGGCGACGAUCCGUAACUGGUCUGAGAGGAUGAUCAGUCACACUGGAACUGAGACACGGUCCAGACUACUAAGGGAGGCAGCAGUGGGGAAUAUUGGACAAUGGGCGAAAGCAUGAUCCAGCCAUGCCGCGUGUGUGAAGAAGGUCUUCGGAUUGUAAAGAACUUUAAGUUGGGAGGAAGGGCAGUAAGUUAAUACCUUGCUGGUUUGACGGUACCAACAGAAUAAGCACCGGCUAACUUCGUG
rnacentral:rRNA from 1 species